AUUCAGUGGUGGACAUGCUCAAGCAGGGUGCGCCCAGGCCUGGGACUAGGAGAGUAGGUUGGAGUCCCAGCUCUUCUAACUUGCUGUGUGUGUCUGACAAACUCUUCUCUGAGCCUGAAUCUCAAAGAGGAAGACACAUCCUUACUCAGCAAUUUGAAACUGGGGUGAUGUGCAUGAAUUAACAUGGAGAGAUCCCCAAGACAUUCUUUCAGAAUCGCAGAGUACAUUCCUUUUUAAAAUAAUAACAUGGUUUUGUGUUUACCUCUACAUGUAUGUAAAUGCGUAGAUAAAAGUCUGGAAGCUAAACAGCCAACAAGAAGCAGAGGUUGUCACUGAAGAGGAAAGGAACAUUGGAAUUGGUGGUGGGGAAGUGUUUUUCUAUGUUUUUUUUUUUCUUUCUUUCUUUUUACUUUAAAUUCUGGGAUACAUUUGCAGAACGUGCAGGUUUGUUGCAUAGGUAUACAUGUGCCGUGGUGGUUUGCUGCACCCAUCAACCUGUCAUCUAG
rnacentral:lncRNA from 1 species